rnacentral:rRNA from 1 species
UACGUAGGGUGCGAGCGUUAAUCGGAAUUACUGGGCGUAAAGCGUGCGCAGGCGGCCCUGUAAGUCCGUUGUGAAAGUCAAAGGCUCAACCUUUGAAAGCCGAUGGAUACUGCAGGGCUAGAGUCCGGAAGAGGCGAGUGGAAUUCCUGGUGUAGCGGUGGAAUGCGCAGAUAUCAGGAGGAACACCAAUAGCGAAGGCAGCUCGCUGGGACGGUACUGACGCUAAGGCGCGAAAGCGUGGGGAGCGAACAGG